rnacentral:rRNA from 1 species
UACGUAGGGGGCUAGCGUUGUCCGGAAUCAUUGGGCGUAAAGCGCGCGUAGGCGGCCAGAUAAGUCCGGUGUGAAAGUCACAGGCUCAACCUGUGAAUGCCGCUGGAAACUGUCUGGCUAGAGUCCGGAAGGGGCGAGUGGAAUUCCUGGUGUAGCGGUGAAAUGCGCAGAUAUCAAGAGGAACACCUGAGGUGAAGACGGGUUGCUGGGCUGACACUGACGCUGAGGCGCGAAAGCUAGGGUAGCAAACAGG